GAUGAACGCUGGCGGCGUGCCUAAUACAUGCAAGUCGAACGAAGUACAAGAAGCUUGCUUCUUGUAACUGAGUGGCGAACGGGUGAGUAAUACAUAAGCAACCUGCCUUAAUGCCUGGGAUAACAGUUGGAAACGACUGCUAAUACCGCAUAAUGUAUACGGAUCGCAUGGUCUGUAUACCAAAGAUUUAUCGCUGAAAGAUGGGCUCGCGUAUGAUUAGAUAGUUGGUGAGGUAACGGCUCACCAAGUCGACGAUCAUUAGCCGGACUGAGAGGUUGAACGGCCACAUUGGGACUGAGACACGGCCCAG
rnacentral:rRNA from 1 species